GAUGAAGAACGCAGUGAAAUGCGAUACGUAAUGUGAAUUACAGAAUUCAGUGAAUCAUCGAAUCUUUGAACGCAUAUUGCGCUCUCUGGUAUUCCGGAGAGCAUGCUUGUUUGAGUAUCAGUAAACACCUCAACUUCCAUAUCUUUUUUGAAAUGGGAGUUGGACUUGAGUGAUCCCAACGCUUUUCCUCACCGAAAAGUGGCGGGUUACUUGAAAUGCAGGUGCAGCUGGACUUUUCUCUGAGCUAUAAGCAUAUCUAUUUAGUCUGCCUAAAAAACAGAUUAUUACCUUUGCUGCAGCUAACAUAAAGGAGAUUAGUUCUUGUGCUGACUGAUGCAGGAUUCACAAAGACAGGCUUCGGCCGACUUUGUAAACUCGAUCUCAAAUCAAGUAAGACUACCCGCUGAACUUAAGCAUAUCAAUAAGCGGAGGA
rnacentral:misc_RNA from 1 species